UCCCCUUGUAAUCUACCAGGACAAUUUUUACUCAAGUACAGCCUCCCUUCCCCUGCAGCCUCCAAAGGGACUGGGACUACAGCUCCCAUCAUCUCUAACCGUCAUAUCCAGUGGGUGGGUGUGAUGCAGUUUGUAAUCCCAGCACAUACGAAGAUGCCAACGCAGGAACCAUUACGGGCCCAGGUCUUCUCCGCACCAACUUUAUCUUUGGAAAAAAUGGGCACCAGCAAUUAUGAAACUUCCCCACGUGCCCAAAUGAAGCGUAUGCCCUAUUGGGAAGCAGAAGCCACAACGUGUCUCUUGAAUCAAAACUUUGCUUUUGCCCACCUGAGUCCCUCCAGCAUUACUGGCUCCCAGAAUUUCCAGAGCUUGGGAAGUUGGAAUCCAGACCCAGCUGGAACCCACCAAACUAAAAUGCCACAGGCACUGUUGAUUCCCAGUUCCUGGGCUCCUGGUACUGAGAAGACACACACGGGCACCAAGAUGGCCACUGGAAACUUAGCAAAAGCAGUUGGCAUAAAGAGGAUCUCCGGGGGCAAAGUAUAAAAGUCAGCUGCAAAGAUCAGGAACCUAGAACCGCAAUGAAUUCAGGAAUUCCAAGUCAUCUAACUACAUUCAGGUGUUGACAAUUGCCAUUUAAAAAGCUAGUGGCCACUAUAGGAAGAGGUGGGAGAAAAUGAAUUUUCUUGGGCUGUUGGCAUGCUUUGAGUUGGUGGUUUUCUUGCAGGCGUUUCAUUACCAGGCUAAAAAACAUCAUCAGUGCAUGGAGGAGUGAAGUUGGCAAAACCAACAGUAAAACUUUGAGCUACAUCCAUUUUCUACUACUGUUGAGAAACACUGGUAUAGAAAGUUAAUUUCCCUCUGAUGCUGGUCCUUCUGUUUCAGCAAAAUGUACUGACAGCUAAAGAAACUCUGUUUUAAACAGGAAGCUGAUAGUUCGAAACACAUCUUCCACCCUCAAUAAUAUUGGUCUUAAGUUUCCAAAGGAUAGAAAUUUAUCCUUCCUCCCUCUCUUCUCAUAUCCUCAUCCUAGGAAGGCAAAUUUUUCUCAUUCUUUUUUUUUCUCCAGCAACAAUUUGUGCUCUUGACCAAGAAUUAAACUUAAUACAGACAGGGAUCAGCAAAAACACCCAGGAAAAAACUCCUACAGAAUGAAACAAUGGAAGAAACGCAACUUUAAAAUUAAAACCAUUCAACGGUC